CCAGUCGGCCGGGCAGCCGCGCUCCGCAAAAGGUCGAAAGGCCGCGGGGUGAGGAAAGUCCGGGCUCCACGGAAACACGGUGCCGGAUAACGUCCGGCGGGGGCGACCCUAGGGAAAGUGCCACAGAAAGCAAACCGCCUCGCUCACGCGGGGUAAGGGUGAAAGGGUGGGGUAAGAGCCCACCGCGUCGCUGGCGACAGGGACGGCACGGUAAACCCCACCGGGAGCAAGACCGAAUAGGGAUGACGCGGCCGCCUGCAAAGGCUGCCAGCCCGUUUCCGGGCCGGUCAUCCGGGUGGGUCGCGCGAGGCGGAACGCAAGUUUCGUCCCAGAUGAAUGGCUGCCGCGUUCGGCGUCCCAACGGGCGUCGGGCCAUACAGAACCCGGCUUACAGGCCGACUGGCAUU
rnacentral:RNase_P_RNA from 1 species